UUAUAGUUUGUCAACGACAAACGACGUAUAUUAGUAUGGGUUUAAAUUUGGAUACUGAACAAAUCGGACAAUAUACUAGCAUAGACUAAUGUUUGUGGAUAUGAUUAUUAGUUAUAUAUAGUUUGUCAUGUUUUGAUAGUAAAGUAUUUAUAUUGAUAUCUAUAUAUAACUAAUAAUCAUAUCCACAAACAAUCACAACACUGUGUACAUUAUGUAACUUUGUGAUAUUUUUCUUGAACAAAAAUACCCGACAAUAUUGUUGUUUUGAUUUGGAUGCAAUGCAUGUGUAGCUUAAAGAAUCGCUUAAUCAUUGUUUCUACAUAGUUUAUCUUUCGAUCAUUGUUAUUAAAACUAAUUAUAUUAAUCGUCGACUAUCUUACAUGCUACUUGCUAGUAGGUCAGAUUUGAGGUAACCCAACAACUGCAAGACCAUAAUAAAAUAAUUAAACAUCAACAAAUACAAAAAACAUAAAAAUAGAUGAUAAGCAGAAAAAAUAUAUAUAGAAAAAAAAAGAGCCACGAAUAAAAACAAAUAGAAAAUAAAAGAAAAAUAAUAAACAUGUUCAUAUAAAAUAUUAUCAACAACACCAACUAAACCCAUUGUUUGUUAGCUUUUGGAUACGGACCCUAAUCAUGCAAUUGUUUUUGUUACGCAUUGUCUAAUAUUAUUGUUCUACUUCUACAACCAAUCAGCUUACUUUUCUUUUUAUUAAUUUAAACACACAAUAAUUCGGAAUAUCCUUUAGCAAAAGGAUCAGUAAUUCAAAAUAUCAGCAGCCAAUCGUGGUAUGGUUUAAACCAAAGGGUGCAGCCAUAUAUCGUCUAUAUGGUUGUUUUUUAAUAUUUCAUAUGUUUUCUAAUAGUAGACUUUCUGCACUCUGUGAUUACAACAUAAAC
rnacentral:lncRNA from 1 species